CGGCGCCACAAGCGGUGAUCACGAUUAUUGGGCCUAAAGCAUCCGUAGCCGGCUUUUUAAGUUUCUGGUGAAAUCCAAUGGCUUAACCAUUGGGCGCGCCAGAAAUACUGAGAAGCUUGAGACCGGAAGGAGUCAGAGGAAUUUCUUGGGGAGCGGUAAAAUGUUGUAAUCCAAGGAGGACCAUCAGUGGCGAAGGCGUCUGACUAGAACGGGUCUGACGGUGAGGGAUGAAAGCUAGGGGAGCAAACCGGAUUAGAUACCCGAGUAGUCC
rnacentral:rRNA from 1 species